CCUACGGGGGGCAGCAGUGGGGAAUAUUGCGCAAUGGGCGAAAGCCUGACGCAGCGACGCCGCGUGAGGGAUGAAGGUCUUCGGAUCGUAAACCUCUGUCAGCAGGGAAGAACGGUCACUGUGCUAAUCAGCAGUGAAUUGACGGUACCUGCAAAGGAAGCACCGGCUAACUCCGUGCCAGCAGCCGCGGUAAUACGGAGGGUGCGAUCGUUAAUGGGAAUUACUGGGCGUAAAGCGCUCGUAGGCGGUAUGUCAAGUCAAGGGGGAAAUCCCCGCGCUCAACGUGGGAACUGCCUUUGAAACUGGCAAACUGGAGUGUGUGAGAGGAUAGUGGAAUUCCAGGUGCAGGAGUGAAAUCCGUAGAUAUCUGGAGGAACAUCAGUGGCGAAGGCGACUAUCUGGCACAUAACUGACGCUGAGGAGCGAAAGCGUGGGUAGCAAACAGGAUUAGAUACCCCUGUAGUC
rnacentral:rRNA from 1 species